rnacentral:lncRNA from 1 species
CUUAUGUAUAGCACUAGUCCAAAAAUAUAUCCAAAAUUCAGAAAGAUUGAAGCAAUCACUUUUACAAAUUUAGCCAAUAUACAUCCAUACCCCUAUGGACAAGUCAAGAGAUGUUCCGAAAACUGUAAAUAUGACCUUUUUGCACUUGGCCUAAUCACUCAUUCCAUAUCAAAAUCAGUUUAAAUACAACAUCCAAAAAAUUAUUUCACCUCUCAUCUUUCAUUUCCACCCAAUAAAAUCUAAGAAAUGAGUGGGGAAGGGAAAGAAAAAAAAUUCAGGAAAAAUACACUCUAAUGACUAAUUAAAAGGAACUACAUUCAUGAACAACGAACAGUGGGGUCAUUAAUUGUGGUCUUGGGCCAUUUGCAAUGUUUUUGAAGCACCUGCUGUGCAAAUUUCUUGGAUUUUAACCUGUUUGGAAUACCUUUUGACAUUAAUAAAAUGUUUUACUGGCUUUCUAUGCAAGAGGAAGCAAGAGAGAAAAAAUAUGAUGUCAUUUAUCAGAAGCCUGUGUCAAAAACAGGGUCGGUUGAUAAUUAUUAUUUUUUUUUUUUUUGAAAGAUCCAAUAUAAAAGUUAAGGUCGGGGCUAAAAACAGGGUCGGUCGGGUUACCUGAAACACAGAUCUUUUUUUUCUCGGCCCAAGGAGAGUUGUUCAAAUAAUGUGAAUACACACAACCCCCAUCCAAUUACGGUUAUUUUUGGAAAACAAAUAGUGUGAUUUGUCAAAUUCAGCUGAUUUUUUAAUCUUCUGGAAAAAAGUGUACAUUUUAUGAGGGGGGAUAAUCCCGAGCUUAAAAACACCCGAUCCUGGAGUCCCGAUAAAGGUCCUAUCCCCCCUCUUUUAUGGUCA